UGAUGAUGAUGAUGGUGAUGAUGAUGAUGAUGGUGAUGAUGAUGAUGGAACAGAUCAUUAUCAUCAUUGUCGUCGUCGUCAUGUUCAUCAACGCAG
rnacentral:pre_miRNA from 1 species